UUCUGGCAGUGCUGGGCCAGGCGAGAGUCCCAGAGAGCCUCCACGGGCGGCGCCCACCCUCCGUUUGCGGGACCCAGCCUGAGUGAAAGGCGGCGGGCAUGGCUAGGGCCGGCUCUGCCCUUCGGCCUGCUGUUCCUGCGCUGCGGCGCCAUGCUGUCCGACAGCUUUGUGAUGGCCGAGGCCCAGGUGGCCCCCUUCCUGCUAGUCUCGCUGGCGCUGGCGCUGGUGCUGAGGCUGCACUGGCAGGGCGCUCUGGAAGGCUCGCCCCUUGGCUUGCCGGUGCUCGGGCUGCUAGGGGUCGUCCUGGCGUGCGCGCGCCUCUCUGGGCUUUUCCGGCAGUGUCGCGAGGAGACGCCCGGCUGCCAGUCCUCCUCGCUCCUGGCCCCGCUCUCCAGCCUGCAGGAGCCCCAGGCGAAGAACCUCCAGUACCUCCUCUGCUUGGCGGGGCUGGCCGGGCUGGUGGGGGCCGUGCAGGGCUGGCUGCGCCACUACGGCAACCUCAACCGCCCCAGCGCCCCCGUCCUCUUUGUCCGCUGGGGGUUCCCCCUGCUGGCCCUCUGGAUCGGCGGCUACUGGGCCGUGACCUCGGGGGCCGAGGAGGCGCUGGCCAAGCUGCGCGUGUGGGUGCAGCUGGCGCUGGUGGCCUUCCCCCGGGGUCUCUUUGGCCUGGUCGGGGCGGGCCUCCUCCUCCGGGACCCGGUGACCGUCUUGGUGAGGGACAGCCGGGAGCCUGCGUGAGCCGAAUCCCUGCCAUCAGAAAGUCUCGAGGGUCACCUCGUCUCCCUCGCCCGUUGAUGCCGGAACAAAUCCAGGUGGCUAGUAGUUGCCCUGACCAUCGCAAGCCUCUCGCUGGUCUUCCCCGAGGAGGACUGCUGGGAGGGCCCUGUUCAUCUUCUCCGGAUCUCUGUUCGUUGCAUCCAAGGCUUCUGGCUUGUUUCAUGGAGGCAGGCGGGACCCCAAGUGUUCCUUGAGGGGCUGCUGGUUGAGUGUCCCUGGCCAGCCGCCUAUUGCCUUCGCUGUCCAUUUCCUGGGCUCCCUUCUUUAG
rnacentral:lncRNA from 1 species